AGCGUGNAGGUCGGUGGUUCAAGUCCACUUAGGCCCAUCCCUUUCUAUGUGGGGCCUUAGCUCAGCUGGGAGAGCGCCUGCUUUGCACGCAGGAGGUCAUCGGUUCGAUCCCGAUAGGCUCCACCAUUUUAGCGGAAAAAUACUGUGUCCAUGAGCACAUACAGGAAACAGUUUGGUUCCUUGAAAACUAGAUAACCGGAAGGAAAAGCGGAGGCGCCGCGGUUAGCCCCGAUAGGUGCUGGAGGGUCUGCGAGGAGGCUAUUGCCGCCACGGCAGGACCGAAGCGACCGUGAGGGGCUAGGUGCCGAAGCUAGACAUAGGAAGAAGCCGAGAAGCGAAGGCGGCAAGCAUGAAGCUGUUUCCGCAU
rnacentral:tRNA from 1 species